rnacentral:tRNA from 1 species
CGGAUUAAAUCUUUAUAGUUAAGAAUUUCAUUUACAUUGAAUAAUUUUAUCGUGCGAUUCGAUAUAAUCUGA